UACGUAGGGUGCAAGCGUUGCUCGGAAUCACUGGGCGUAAAGGGCGCGUAGGCGGGAUGGCAAGUCAGUCGUGAAAUCUCUCGGCUCAACCGAGAAACGUCGGCUGAUACUGCCGUUCUUGAGGGAUGCAGAGGAGACUGGAAUUCCCGGUGUAGCGGUGAAAUGUGUAGAGAUCGGGAGGAACACCGGUGGCGAAGGCGGGUCUCUGGGCAUUUCCUGACGCUGAGGCGCGAAAGCGUGGGGAGCAAACGGG
rnacentral:rRNA from 1 species